ACGUCUUUGGAUGUCUGCAGUGAUGUCUAUGUGCUUCACACUUUGUCCUGUACACUCCAGUCUUGCAAGCAGCUCCCGUCCCGGGAGCGGUUUCUCAACAGGUGCCGGCUCGCAGAGAAUCAUUGGUGCAGCAGCAGAGGGGGAGACCCGGCACGGCGGGGUGGGACGGGGCUGCGUGGCAAAGGGGGCGUUCAACAGCAGCUCCAGAACAUCCGCAGAGCAGCCGCUGCAGCCCCAGCGAACCACCGAGGUGCUCGUCUAAGCUCACCUGCCUCAUCUGCCACUCUGCAGGACAGGCUGGCAUCACAGCUGGCUUUGGGGGGGUUCUCCCAGCUGUACCAUGACCAACGCGGUUAGUGCCACCGCCCUGAGGAUGCUCAGCUAUUAAAUACACAAUUAACUUGAAUGCUUGCCACGUGACAGAUAGUUAAGCAUCGGUUCACUGGCAGGAGGAAAGAUCAAGAAGGAUUGUGAUACACUGUGCAGACUCGGACCUGCAUCCCUGUGCAGCACUGCAGAGCGACCGCAAGGCUGCAGGGGAAAACAAACAAACAAAAAGAACACGAAAAACAAAACCCAAAACCCCAAUGAACGGAGUCGCUCAGAUUUAGCCAUUACAGGCAAUUCAUCUCAGCAGAAAAUGUAAAUACACGAAGGAACCUCAGCCAAAAUACAGCGCCUGCUCUCCUCCCCUCGGUCUCGGGGUGGAGACGGAUUCCUCAGACACACACUUGCCAGGCCAGUAAUGCUCUCUGCUGCUCUGUGAUGUUAUCAGAUGCUGCGGGACAACACUGCACCAAUGCAGUUUAGACACUGUGGCACAGAGCUGCUCAGCAGAGCCCCACGCGCAGUUGUGUCACCGCGAGGGAAGGUUCGCUCAGUUCCAGGAGCUGCGACCAGAAGCUGAGGGUGGAGCGGGGAACAUUGCCGUGGAAGUGCCCACAGCGUGACACGGCACCUGCAGAGUGACGUGACAUGAUGCCCGCAGCGUGACGUGACACGGCGCCCGCAGCGUGACGUGACACGGCGCCCACAGCGUGACGUGACAUGAUGCCCGCAGCGUGACGUGACACGGCGCCCGCAGCGUGACGUGACACGGCGCCCGCAGCAGCCACCGCAGGAACAGCCCUGUCAUCCCCCCCGCACCACCCCGAGAGCCGCAGCAGCUGUGCCCAGGCUGAGGAGCAGGUCCCUGCGGCUGGGCCUCCGGAACACAGCACAGCCCAGGGGAAGCCUCCUCGCCCUUUUCUUCUGUGAAAUAGGCGGCCAUGGAAAACACCAGCACAACGGGAGGGGAUCCUGUCAAUGGCGCCUCCUAAGCACCACACACCAGGAUCGCGGCUUUGCGUUCUCUGCUCACCACAGCCUAAGGAUCUAAGGGGACUCACAUCUCCUUAAUGACUAUCUCAAAAAGGAUGCAAGAGUGAAUGUAUAUAAAUACCACAAAAACCAACAUCUCCACCAGACACCCACCACCCCAGGCUCCCUCAGCCCCCGAGGCCAGUGCCUGGAGCCACCACCAGAGCCCGUGCAGUGAUCCCUUCUACCGGCACAGCUGCAGCAGCCUCCAGCCAGUGCGCAAAAAUCAACUGCAGCAUCUCUAACGUGCUCAGCUGGUGUCGCCCAGGGACCCUCCCUGGCUUUGCCAACUGCAAGGCUCCAACCAGGACAUGUUUUAAGAGGACCUCAGUCCUUCACCAGAGCUUCCAGGCUCUCCCGGUCCCAGCUGUACCGCCCCUGAGGAGCACGGGAAACCUCUGCACCUGCCGCACAGGGUUGGCAGAUGUUCAGAAGAAGAAAGGAGAACCGCCACGCUGCGCUGCUGUUGAACAGAUGAGGAUCUGAGCGGCACCGGGAUUAUGAGGCUUCUUCUGCCAGUGGAAGCGCGUACAUGGUACCCGAGCCCCGUACUCGCACCUCACUCCAUGGAAACACACCUGUGGCAUCACCUCGGUAGAUCCGGCAGCACAAAAUCUCUGCCUAACUUGUCUUCCCACAGGUGGGACAAGAGGAAUCCCAGCACGUGCUGGGAUCUUCAACUCAAAAUACAAAUUCCCCCUCAUACUCAGUAUUAAUAAUACACAAACUCCCAACCACGCACAGCAUGAUCUCAUUUUCUACCCUCGAUGAUGCUGAGGCGCCAGCAGGUUACGAGAACGCCCUGGGUGGUUUUGGUGGGGUGACGGGGUCGGCGUGACGGGGCAGGGACACCGCCGGCUGCCCACGGCCGCCCCAGCCGCUCCCACCUCACAAGCACCCACAGGUUUUACGCGGCUCAGCGUCACGGUUAAACACAGGAACCAUUGCAGAGCACAACAACAAAGUCACACGUAACAGGUUUAACCAAAGCUGUGUAUUUUCCUGCCAUGGAAACCAGUCACAAGAACCAGAAAGCUGCCCAAAGACAAGGAUUUCGUGUGUUGCUCUCUGCUAAUCUGCCCUGUUCCCUUCUGAAACCCUGAAACUGAUGAGUGGCGACAUGGACCAGUUACAGCCGGCCCAAAGCAGCAAUCUAAGCUUUCCACAUCAAAGCUCUGCCAGUGCCUCAGCAAGGGUCACACCAAAGCACAAAGGUAUUUCACCUGCUACCUCCAAAUGACCUCACGCCGCCUGCAGCCUUGCUUCAUCCUCACACAACCGACUCCAGCACACACACGGGGAUUCUAAGCUGCAAGGCCUUAAGACACUUCUUUUUUCCCAGAAGCAGGAAUAAUUCAGAAGCCCAAGCAAACCGGAGCUGGCAAGAGCUCAGUGGUCCACGACUGAAUGAGAGACACCAUCGCGUUUAGACAAAAAGCAGCUAUGAAGAUUGCAGUUUGUCCUUGCCUACUAAGAGCAGAAAAUGUAGUGCCUGAAGCUGUAGCAAAAGGUGAGCUGAGACUCAGAGAACCUUGGGAAACUGGAGAUAACUAAGCAGCACAUCGUCGGGAAUCAACAGGUCAAAAUCCAUCGGGAAGGCUUACAUCAAGCUUAUCCUGUCUCAGAACAUGAAGGUCCACGUCCCAAACUACUUCUCUGUGAACCUCCAACACUGGUGUUUCACACCAAAUCGCCCAAGAACCAAAGUAUUCCGUACUGCAGAAUUGCGGUUUUAAAUAUUUACUGCCCUAUACAUCACAGCAAACAUUUUCCCGCUUCCUAAACUCUGAAGUGAACCCUUAUAGGUUUAUAAGCUGUGAUCCCAUCCAACUAACAGCAGCUGCUCCUCCAUGUCACACCAUGGCCCUAAACCCGCAACCCCAGACCAAAGAGGCGUCAGCCACAGGCUAAAACCCAACGCCAUCGACAGCCUCGCACUCACAGGAUCCUUCGCCUAAAGGGACCGUCUUGGAGCAGAAUGAAAUUGCACCUUGUCUGAAAAGACACUUAACAGUCCAUAACUUACGCAACAGCCAAACAUUUCCUACCUAGGAGGGUGCAGCCCUGCCUCGCAAGGGCAGAAACACACGGCAACAGCUCAGCUGCCAAGCUGGAGCGAUAAACCACGGGCUAAUGGGACGAGAGGGAGGUGCUGGGGCUGCGGGGGACACGGGAGCCCGGCUGGGCUAAAUUGCAUUGGUAUGUGUUCUAAAUGUCUGGGGCUUUUUAAAGGCAAGAUUUCAGUUUAUUUUACAGUCUUUUUUGUUACCAAUUUUAAAAUACAUAUAUUUAUACGGUUUAGAAAGAACCAUCUGGAAUCGUGUCCUGAAAAAUACAUCCUUUUGGCAGACACCCUGUUUAGUUCUGAUUAAUUAGUGCGUGUUGAUAGAAAGACAGGGCAUGCUUGAGGGUUUUUUCUGAUUUGUGAGCCCACUCUUUGUUAAUUAUCACAUUUUCCAAGGAGGGAGAAAUAAUGUUCUGCCUCUCGAGCUCAGCUGCAACAAACCACCGCGUCCAAGACACAAUAUACACUACAAAUGACUGGGACUUGUGGCUGCAAUCCCCCCGCACGUCCUGCCCACGUCCUCAUCCGUCCCCUCUGCUGGAUUCAACACCUGACAACAGUUGUGCCAUUUCUCUGUUUCCAAAGCAACACCUUUGCUUUGGAGUUUUUUUUUCCCCCCAUCUAUUCCAUCUUCCUUUAAUUUUAAAGCUUUUCAGGUUUUUGAAACACCUACACAACCUGA